UACAGAGGUCUCAAGCGUUGUUCGGAUUCAUUGGGCGUAAAGGGUGCGUAGGCGGCGCGGUAAGUCGGGUGUGAAAUCUCGGAGCUUAACUCCGAAACUGCAUUCGAUACUGCCGUGCUUGAGGACUGGAGAGGAGACUGGAAUUUACGGUGUAGCGGUGAAAUGCGUAGAUAUCUGGAGGAACACCGGUGGCGAAGGCGGCAUCCUGGACCGACACUGACGCUGAUGAGCGAAAGCCAGGGGAGCAAACGGG
rnacentral:rRNA from 1 species